AGGGCUGGAUUCAUCUUCUCCUUGGUCGCUGUCCGGAUUCGUGUUUGGCCCAGCCGGUGAUUCACGACCCUCAGUUACUACACAAGGCAAAUGGGGCUAAGGACUUCAGUGGAGUGCUGCAGGACUACAUCAGAAUACUACAAAUGUCUGGCGGCAUCGUGACAGACCAGUGAGCGGACAGCAUGGCCUUUUGUGACUCCUCGGUGAAGGCUACUCGGCAGUCGGCACAACCAUUUGAGGAAAUGCAAGAGCAUUUUGGAGAUGCAACCAGACCAGUUGUAGUCCAUGCUGACCUCAUGAAUUUGAAGGAUAAAACAAAAAAGUCGGGCGAUGGCAAACAUUUUUGCGCCAUCACGGCAUGUAAAUGGACGGUAAUAAAAUAUAGCUCUGCCACCCAACACCAAAAUAAAAACACAAAGGUAAUCAGAAAUGCCUUUGAUACGUGGUACUUGAGAAGUUAAGUGUACAUCUGAGUUAAUUAAAUCGUUCGGCUCACCUGCAAGCUGUAAGCUAA